rnacentral:lncRNA from 1 species
AGACCACCCAGCCCAUCAUCCAGACUUCUCUACGGGGGAUAGAUUUAGAUGAGAUCCAGUCCUGUAAUGCUGCUGUGCUGCUGCCCAAGGGGGGAGCCACUAUAUGCAGGAGAUCCCAGCUCUGCAACUUCAAGUCACUGAAACACCUGAACUACUCUCAUCAACAGAUGCACUUAUACGUAACUUGGAUGACAUCUCCUCUCCUCCACAUCAUCAUUAACUCUGUGCAGAAAUUCUUCCCAGUAUUGAACUGAGGUGAAAGCCUGCAUCAGUUUAACCAUACCUCCCCCGGCUUUGUGUCCUAUUUGCUCCCUGCCAUCUAGAAGACACUCCUCAGCAAGCCCCUAAU